rnacentral:rRNA from 1 species
CUACGGGGGGCUGCAGUGAGGAAUAUUGCACAAUGGGGGGAACCCUGAUGCAGCAACGCCGCGUGGAGGAUGACGCAUUUCGGUGUGUAAACUCCUUUUAUAUGUCAAGAAAAUGACGGUAGCAUAUGAAUAAGCACCCGCUAACUCCGUGCCAGCAGCCGCGGUAAUACGGAGGGUGCAAGCGUUACUCGGAAUCACUGGGCGUAAAGGACGCGUAGGCGGGUUGGAAAGUCAGGUGUGAAAUCCUACAGCUUAACUGUAGAACUGCACUUGAAACUUCUAAUCUAGAGUAUGGGAGGGGGAGAUGGAAUUAGUGGUGUAGGAGUAAAAUCCGUAGAUAUCACUAGGAAUACCUAAAGCGAAGGCGAUCUCCUGGAACAUUACUGACGCUAAGGCGUGAAAGCGUAGGGAGCAAACAGGAUUAGAUACCCUGGUAGUC